rnacentral:rRNA from 1 species
GAUGAACGCUGGCGGCGUGCCUAAUACAUGCAAGUCGAGCGAACGGACGAGAAGCUUGCUUCUCUGAUGUUAGCGGCGGACGGGUGAGUAACACGUGGAUAACCUACCUAUAAGACUGGGAUAACUUCGGGAAACCGGAGCUAAUACCGGAUAAUAUUUUGAACCGCAUGGUUCAAAAGUGAAAGACGGUCUUGCUGGCGCUUAUAGAUGGAUCCGCGCUGCAUUAGCUAGUUGGUAGGGUAACGGCUUACCAAGGCAACGAUGCAUAGCCGACCUGAGAGGGUGACGGGCCACAUGGGGACGGAGGUACGGCCAAGACGCCUACGGGGGGCAGUAGUGGGGAAUAUUGCACAAUUGGCAGAAGCGUGAUACAUAAACGCAGCGUGCGGGAUGACGGCCUGCGGGUAGUAAACCGAUUGCGCCUGUGACGAAGCGUGAGUGACGGUAAUGGGUAAAGAAGCACCGGCUAACUACGUG